rnacentral:snRNA from 1 species
GUGCUGGCUAAGCAGCACAUAUACCAAAAUUGAAACAAUACAGAGAUGAUUAGCAUGAUCCCUGUGCAAGAAUGAUACUCAAAUUCGUGAAGCAUUCCAUAUUUUU